rnacentral:lncRNA from 1 species
AGAACAAAGAGCUGAUCAUAUUUUAUUACCUUUAUGAUGCUUAUCAUCGUCUGCCAUGAACUUGUUAUGAUUGAUGACUGUGGUUCUGCUGUGAUGAGAAUGUAAACUUCAGAAGACCGGAAACUUCAUCUCCGUUCCUGUUGUACCUCUGGCACCCAAAGCAGUACCAAGCAUAGAGUAGACCACUAACAAAUAGUUGCUAGAUGUUGAAUGACUGUUGGUGAAAUUUUAUCAUUUUAUCAAAUUCUUAAAAGUAUACAUUUUUUAAAAAUAGGAUACUAUUCAAAAAUUGUCUCAGCAGCCUGGGUGUGGUGGCUCAUGCCUGUAAUCCCAGCACUUUGGGAGGUGGGUGGAUCACCUGAGGUCAGGAGUUCAAGACCAGGCUGGCCAAUAUGGUGAAACCCCAUCUCUACUAAAAAUACAAAAUUAGCCGGGCGUAGUGGUGCACGCCUGUAGUCCCAGCUACUCGGGAGGCUGAGGUGGGAGAAUCUCUUGAACCUGGGAGGCGGAGGUGGCAUUGAGUCGAGAUCACACCACUGCACUCCAGCCUGGGUGACAAUCAAAAUGAAAAUGUUUGAAUUAUCAUGAGAAUUACCAAAUGUGACACAAACACAAAGUGAGCAUAUGCUGUUGGAAAAUGGCAUUGAUAGACUAGCUCAAAACAGAGUUGCCAUAAACCUUCACUUUGCAAAAAAAAAAAAAAAAAAAAAAAGCAGUAUCUGUGAAGCGCAAUAAAGCAAAGCGCAAUAAAAUGAGGUGUGCCUGUACCAUGAUGAAUAGGGCUGCAGGACAGAGAGAUGGACGCAGAGACGGAAAUGGACAGAUGGGGUCAUCAGAGCUAAGAGACAUACAGAAGAUACUGAUCAUAUCUGCCAUGCAAUUAACAAAAAUGUAAAUACGUUUUCCUUCCAUGAGUGGAAAAAAACAGUAACUCUAAAAUUCUCUGGUAGAAAAUAGAGAAGUAGGGCUUUAAGGAAAAAAUGAGCCGGGCGCGGUGGCUCAAGCCUGUAAUCCCAGCACUUUGGGAGGCCGAGACGGGCGGAUCACGAGGUCAGGAGAUCGAGACCAUCCUGCCUAACACGGUGAAACCCCAUCUCGACUAAAAAAAUACAAAAAACUAGCCGGGUGAGGUGGUGGGCGCCUGUAGUCCCAGCUACUCGGGAGGCUGAGGCAGGAGAAUGGCGUGAACCCGGGAGGCAGAGCUUGCAAUGAGCUGAGAUCCGGCCACUGCACUCCAGCCUGGGCGACAGAGCAAGACUCCAUCUCAAAAAAAACCAAAAAAACAAAAAAACCCAGCAAAUUGUAACUAAUUUGAAUAUAAAAAUGAGUUUGAAGUAAAAUAAUGAAUAAUAAUAACAUAUAAUUCUUACUCUGAGCAGGGCAACAGGGGGAAAAAUGACAUAUAAGACAUAAAAUGACAUAUUAAGUCCAAACAGGUGUUUGGAUUAUAGCAUUUUAAACUCUUGGCAUUAUC